GACGAACGCUGGCGGCGUGCUUAACACAUGCAAGUCGAGCGGUAAGGCCCUUUCGGGGGUACGACGAGCGGCGAACGGGUGAGUAACACGUGGGUGACCUGCCCUCAGCUCUGGGAUAAGCCUGGGAAACUGGGUCUAAUACCGGAUAUGACUCCAUGACGCAUGUUGUGGGGUGGAAAGCCUUGUGCGGCUGAGGAUGGGCCCGCGGCCUAUCAGCUUGUUGGUGGGGUGAUGGCCUACCAAGGCGACGACGGGUAGCCGGCCUGAGAGGGCGACCGGCCACACUGGGACUGAGACACGGCCCAGACUCCUACGGGAGGCAGCAGUGGGGAAUCUUGCGCAAUGGGCGAAAGCCUGACGCAGCGACGCCGCGUGAGGGAUGACGGCCUCA
rnacentral:rRNA from 1 species